rnacentral:rRNA from 1 species
CUACGGGUGGCUCCAGUGGGGAAUAUUGCACAAUGGGCGCAAGCCUGAUGCAGCCAUGCCGCGUGUAUGAAGAAGGCCUUCGGGUUGUAAAGUACUUUCAGCGGGGAGGAAGGGAGUAAAGUUAAUACCUUUGCUCAUUGACGUUACCCGCAGAAGAAGCACCGGCUAACUCCGUGCCAGCAGCCGCGGUAAUACGGAGGGUGCAAGCGUUAAUCGGAAUUACUGGGCGUAAAGCGCACGCAGGCGGUUUGUUAAGUCAGAUGUGAAAUCCCCGGGCUCAACCUGGGAACUGCAUCUGAUACUGGCAAGCUUGAGUCUCGUAGAGGGGGGUAGAAUUCCAGGUGUAGCGGUGAAAUGCGUAGAGAUCUGGAGGAAUGCCGGUGGCGAAGGCGGCCCCCUGGACGAAGACUGACGCUCAGGUGCGAAAGCGUGGGGAGCAAACAGGAUUAGAGACCCGCGUAGUC